rnacentral:lncRNA from 1 species
CUGCCAUUGUAGAUGUGGUCCUAAUAGUUAAUAUAUAAUUAAGAUGUAAAAUUCCUAAUUUUUUGAAUUAAUCAUCUUUAUAAGUAAAAGUUGGUUGGGUAGAUUUUAUGAUUACGAGAACGAAAGAAGUAGAGGAAAAUAAUGAUAGUUUUUUUUUUAUAAAUAUGAGGGGGAAAAUCAUGUGCAUUUUUACAGUGAAAAAUAACCCUUGAUUAUAUAAAAUAACAAAAUAAUGGAUUAUAACUAAAUAUCUGCUGAAUUAUUGAUAAUUAUGUAAAGGAGUACCGGUAUGGCCACGAAGGCCUUAAAUUGGCCCUAAAAAUCAAAGUUUGUAAUAUCAUAUGUAAAGGACCUAUAUUUGCAAUCUUAAAUAUGAAAAUCUAGAUAAACUAUUAAAACAUUUUUGUUGUCUGCUGUUCCUUGUAAUAAUGUUGACAGCUUCAAAAGUGUGAUAUUUAACAAGUAUAUUGCUACAUUGGCUUUUUUUUUUUUUAGGUCUAUUUCCUUUAAAAAAAAUCAUUGACCACACCCUAAGACCAAAAUAAAAUUGUUAUAAAAAGAUGUAUACGUGUCAGAUGAACAUUUUAAACAAAACAUUAUGGUCCUUGCAUGUGGCCAAAAAUCGUUUGAAGCAACAACAAAAAAUUUAGGCAAAAAAUUAGUCAAACUUUAUGUUUAUCUUCUUUAGUGGACAUUUUAAUUGUUCUAAUGCAUCAGAG